rnacentral:sRNA from 1 species
GAUAAGUAGUUACUGCUUGUUAAUACGAAGGGGGCAAGUUUAAGGGGGGCUGCGGACGUUUCAAUCUCGCGAGGCUUCUUGCUUUAACGGCUCGUGUGAUUUUUUAUUAAUUGAAAGAUGCUUUUAUGGCAACAGGUACAGUCAAGUGGUUCAACGAUUCUAAGGGCUUUGGCUUUAUCACUCCGGACGACGGCGGUGAAGAUUUGUUCGCACACUUCUCGGCAAUUCAGAUGAACGGCUUCAAGACCCUCAAAGAAGGUCAAAAAGUUCAGUUCGAAGUCACGCAAGGCCCCAAAGGCAAGCAAGCUUCCAACAUUCAAGCUCCCGCGGCUUAAGUCCUAACCGCUUUGCUAAAAAGCUCCUGCUCUGCAGGAGCUUUUUUU